rnacentral:tRNA from 1 species
UCACUCGUAGCUUAAUGGUCAAAGCAUUGGCGCGCAAAGCCGAACGUCCCGGGUUCGAUUCCCGGCGGGGGUG